GCUUGCUCUCUUGGCGGCGAGUGGCGGACGGGUGAGUAAUAUAUCGGAACGUGCCCAGUAGCGGGGGAUAACUACUCGAAAGAGUGGCUAAUACCGCAUACGCCCUACGGGGGAAAGGGGGGGAUCGCAAGACCUCUCACUAUUGGAGCGGCCGAUAUCGGAUUAGCUAGUUGGUGGGGUAAAGGCUCACCAAGGCAACGAUCCGUAGCUGGUUUGAGAGGACGACCAGCCACACUGGGACUGAGACACGGCCCAGACUCCUACGGGAGGCAGCAGUGGGGAAUUUUGGACAAUGGGGGAAACCCUGAUCCAGCCAUCCCGCGUGUAUGAUGAAGGCCUUCGGGUUGUAAAGUACUUUUGGCAGAGAAGAAAAGGUAUCCCCUAAUACGGGAUACUGCUGACGGUAUCUGCAGAAUAAGCACCGGCUAACUACGUGCCAGCAGCCGCGGUAAUACGUAGGGUGCAAGCGUUAAUCGGAAUUACUGGGCGUAAAGCGUGUGUAGGCGGUUCGGAAAGAAAGAUGUGAAAUCCCAGGGCUCAACCUUGGAACUGCAUUUUUAACUGCCGAGCUAGAGUAUGUCAGAGGGGGGUAGAAUUCCACGUGUAGCAGUGAAAUGCGU
rnacentral:rRNA from 1 species